UUCCUACUAGUGGACUCAUCUCAGAAGAUUUCAAAAACAAAAGUCUCAAGUGACGUGGAUAUUUCCACCUGGUUGUAGUGGGAUAGGCUGGAUUGAUGAUUUUUCACACUAAGCUCUGAGUGUUCCAAUGAGUUCCUUGGAAGUCUCUCAGGAUCAACAGGGGAGAUCAAGGAGGCAUACACACUGAUUUAUCCUAUGGUUGUUAUGAAAUUCUGCCUACCCUCAAUCUUGCUCCAAGGUCCUUUCCACUGCAGCAGUCAAGCUCAUCUACUAUCCCAGUCCCACUAGUGCCAAUACCUUGACCUUCCCAUGAGACGUUAGGAAUCUUUGUGGCUGCUGGGAUAGGACUGGCAAUGGAACAGGGAAAGACUGAGCCAGGCAAGACCAUUAAAUCCAGCUGUCCCUGGGCCAGGUUCGUGUAAGAAGAGAAAUGGCUUUCUGUGGACAGAUGCAAAGCUGAGCUGCCAAGAAGUUUGAUGGGAUGGUAGAGGAGGUAGUUCUCUAAAUAUUGGAAAUCCCAAGCCUGUGGAAGGUGAUGGCACAUAAGCUCUAUGAAACAGCUCUGCUAAAGAAAGAUGCAAACUUUUGAUAAUCUACCCUUGAAGAAAAGCUCCUUGGAAUUUGGCGGAGGCAUUUGAAGUGUCCUUGCAAGAGCAGAAAGUGAAGUAGAAGGAGGCAGGAGGAAGCACGUAUGUGGACAACUGGAACGAUAGCAGAUAAGAGCUGAAUGUCAACAAGUAAGCAAGUCAAGCUCUUCACUAGACUUGAGAGAGACUGGAUAAUACUUUAGGAGUGAAACAGAUGGUUAUGAUUAUUCUGUGUUAUUUACAUGGCACCAAGGUGCUGUCUGUAGUAUUUUACUCUUUUGAAGGAUGCUUUAUGCAGAGGAGUAGACUGUCAAAGAAGGAGCUGAGUUUUAUAUAAUGGAUCUUAAAGAGGGCACCUAAGGGAGCAGGAGGGAGAGGAGGCCCUGAGAACCUAUGGCUCAGAGGAGCCCCCAGAAAUGUUAGAGGAUCAUGACUAUGAAAUUUUAUCCAGGUCUCAGAGGAAAGGAGGAGCAGCUGACAUCCAGUUUAUACAAAUAAAGAAGAUAUGAUCCACAU
rnacentral:lncRNA from 1 species